rnacentral:rRNA from 1 species
GCGGCAAAAGCUCAAAUUUGAAAUCUGGCACUUUCAGUGUCCCAGUUGUAAUUUGAAGAAGGUAUCUUUGGGUCUGGCUCUUGUCUAUGUUUCUUGGAACAGAACGUCACAGAGGGUGAGAAUCCCGUGCGAUGAGAUGUCCCAGACCUAUGUAAAGUUCCUUCGAAGAGUCGAGUUGUUUGGGAAUGCAGCUCUAAGUGGGUGGUAAAUUCCAUCUAAAGCUAAAUAUUGGCGAGAGACCGAUAGCGAACAAGUACAGUGAUGGAAAGAUGAAAAGAACUUUGAAAAGAGAGUGAAAAAGUACGUGAAAUUGUUGAAAGGGAAGGGCUUGAGAUCAGACUUGGUAUUUUGUAUGUUACUCUCUCGGGGGUGGUCUCUACAGUUUACCGGGCCAGCAUCAGUUUGAGCGGUAGGAUAAGUGCAAAGAAAUGUGGCACUGCUUCGGUAGUGUGUUAUAGUCUUUGUCGAUACUGCCAGCUUAGACUGAGGACUGCGGCUUCGGCCUAGGAUGUUGGCAUAAUGAUCUUA